rnacentral:tRNA from 1 species
GCGGAUGUGGCGGAAUUGGCAGACGCGCUGGAUUUAGGUUCCAGUGGAGUAAUCCGUGCAGGUUCGAUUCCUGUCAUCCGUAUCA